AGAAAAGGAAGGAAAAUGUCCAUUUCACCUGAAAAGAUGUGUAAAAAUUGCAUCUGGGCUGCAGAAAGUUGGAAAGUUGUCAAAGAAUAAACUUCACAAUGGCUGAUGUUGUAAUGGGAGUAGGGCCAGGAGUUUUUAUUCUGGCUAUUGUAUGGGUUUUGUCAUUGCUAAUAUGCAUGCUGCUAUCUCGUUCAGGAGGUGUGAUCAGCUGGCUUUCGAUUAUAUUGGUUUUCUUCCUUGCAUUGAUGAUCACCUUGAUCCUCAUCUUCUUUCCCCGGGCCAAAGAGACACCUGAGUCAGUGACUGAAGACGUGAUUUAUGACCGUUUCUUCAUUGGCCGCUAUUGUCUGCUGUGUGUCCUGAUUGUGACGCUCCUGACAGGCUUGAUUCUACUCUUUCCCCAUUACCUUGUGGAGCACGUGGAAGCUAAGCUUCUUCGGAACUGAGGAGUGAUCUAGAGUCCCUGUAUUUUGUAUCUAUGUGUGGCAACGAGUACUUGGUAAAACACUCUUUAAAAGGUGUAUUUUUGUGGAAAAGCAUGAGAUGUGGCUACUGUAAUAUCUGGUGGGAAAUGGUCAACCCAUGGUAAUAUAUGAAUGAGUUAAACUUAACCACUUUAAACAAAAAAUUCCAUGCAUCAUGGGGUUACAUUUAUUUUCCUGGGAUCAGGGAAGGGAGUCAAAUGUAACUGUUUAAAAAUCUGUUCAUGGAAUGUGGGUUGAGCCAGCAUUUAUUACCUAUCCUUAGUUACUCUGGUGAAAGUGGUAGUGAGCUGAAUUUUUUUUUAAAAACACUCCAGUUCUUGAUGAAGCAACAUUUUGGUAAAAGACUGAAGCAUCAAGUACUUUCAUGCAGAAAGUAACUCCCAGAAUCAUAGAAACUAACAGUACUGAAUAAGGUGCAUCAGUCUUGUGUCAGUGAGUUGGGCGAUGAUAUGACAGCUCAGCUUUAUCAUCACCCUCAAGGUCAGUGGAUUGUUGAUACCAGUGCAUGAAGAGUAGCCUGCUUGGAGAAGAAGGCUACCAUCACUGAACAGUCUGUGGUUUACUGGAGAGAAGGAGAGACCAUUGAGUAAAGAAGAAUAAUUCUUCAUUUCAACAUGGAUAUAGUGGACAGCAAAAAAAAAAGUUACCUCCGAGUACAACAGGACCUUUGAUCAGAUGGGCCAAGGAGUGGCAGAUGGAGUUUAAUUUAGAUAAACGUGAGUUGCUGCAUUUUGGAAAGACAAAUCAGGACAGGACUUAUCCACUUAAUGAUAAGGUCCUGGGAACCAUUGGUGAACAAAGACACCUUGGAGUGCAGAUUCAUAGUUCCUUGAAAGUAGAGUCACAGGUAGAUAGAAUAGUGAAGAAGGCAUUUGGUCUGUGUGCCUUUAUUGGUCAGUGCAUUGAGUAUAAGUGUUGGGAGGUCAUAUUGCGGCCGUACAGAACAUUGUUUAGGCCACUAUUGGAAUACUGCAGUCAGUUCUAGUCUCCCUGCUAUAGGAAGGAUAUUGUGAAACUUGAAAGGGUUCAGAAAACAUUUACAAGGAUGUUGAGAGAGUUGGAAGGUUUGAGCUACAUGGAAAGGCUGAAUAGACUGGGGCUGUUUUCCCUGGAGCAUCAAAGGCUGAAGGGAGACUCUCUCGAGAGGAACAUGGAUAGGGUGAAUAGCAAAGAUCUUUUCCCCAGGGUAGGGGAGUCCAAAACUGGAGGGCAUAGGUUUAAGGUGAAAGGGGAAAGAUUUAAAAAGGACCUGAGUGCUAACUUUUUCACGCAGAGGGUGGUACAUGUGUGAAAUGAGCUGCCAGAGGGUAUGGUGGAGGUGGGCUUAAUUACAUCGUUUAAAAGGCAUCUGAUGGUACAUGAAUCAGAAGGGUUUAGAGGAAUAUGGGCCAAAUACUGGCAAAUGGAACUAGAUUAAUUUAGGAUAUUUGGUCGCCAUGGAUGGGUUGAACCAAAGUGUCUGUUUCCAUGGUCAGUGUCUCAAUGACUCUGAGGGGGUGAGGCCUCUUCUGCAGCACUGUGUCCAGCUCUGAUUGCCCAGAUGUAGGAAAGAUAUUAUUAAGCUGGAGUGGGUUCAGAAGAGAUUUACUAGGAUGUUGCCCGGAAUGGAAGGUUUGAGUUAUAAAGGAAGGCUGGAUAGUCUGGGACUUUUUUUUUACUGAGGCAUAGAAAGUUGAGAGGGAUCUUUAUAGAAGUUUAUAAUAAUGAGGAGGUAUAGAUAAGGUUAAUCUUAGGUAUUUUUUCCCUAGGGUGGGAGAUUUCAAGACAAGGGUGCAUGUUUUAAGGUGAAAGGAGAGAUUUAAUAAAAACAUGAGGGGCAAAUUUUGUUUUACACAAUAAGGUCAUUCACAUGCGGAAUGAACUUCCUGAGGAAGUGUUGGAUGUAGAUAUAAUUUUAACAUUUAAAACACAUUUGGAUAAGUGCAUAAAUAAGAACAGUUUAAUAUAUAAGACAUGGUGCAGAAAUUAGGCCAUUCAGCCCAUUCAAUCAUGCCUGAUAAGUUUCUCAACCCCAUUCUCCUGCUUUCUCCCUGUCACCUUUGACAAUCAAGAACUUAUCUAUCUCCAUCUUAAAUAUACUCAAUGACCUGACCUCCACAGCCUUCUGUGGCAGUGAAUUCCAUCGAUUCACCCCUCUCGGGUUGAAGAAGUUUCUCCUUAUCUCCCUUUACUCUAAGGCUUUGCCCUCAGGUCCUAGUCUCUCCUACCAAUGGAAACAUCUUCCCAACAUUCACACUGUUUACGCCAUUCAGUAUUCUGUAAAUUUCAAAUAGAUCUCCCACAUCCUUCCACCAAAUACAGAUCCAGAGUCUGCAAACGUUCCUCAUGUUACACUUUCCAUUAGUGGGACCAUUCUCGUGUACCUCCUCUGAACCUGCUUCAAGGUCAGAGAUACUGGGCCAAAAACUGUGCACAAUACUCUAAAUAUGGUCUGAUCAGAGCCUUCUUCUAGAUCCUUAGAAGUACAUCCCUGCUUUUUAUAUUCAAGUCCUCUCAAAAAUAAAUGCCAACAUUAUAUUUGUCUUCCUAACUACUGACUCAACCUGCAAGUUUACUUUGAGAAUCUUAGUCGAGAUCUCCCAAUUCUCUUUGCAAUUCAGGCUUCUGAAUUUUCUCUCCAUUUAAAAAAUAGUCCAUGCCUGUAUUCUUCCUACCAAAGUGCAUGACCUUCCACUUCUCCAUGUUGUACUCCAUCUGCCACUUCUUUACCCACUCUCCUAACCUGUCCAAAUCCAUCUGCAGCAUCCCUACCAGUUCAAAACCAUCUGUCCCACUACCUAUCUUUGUAUCAUCUGCAAACUUAGCCAGAAUACUCUUAGUUCCUUCAUCUAGAUUAUUUACGUACAAAGUGAAAAGUUGUGUUUCCAACACUGAGACUUGCGGAACACCAGCUGCCAUCUUGAGAAGGACCCUUUUAUCCCCCCCUCUCUGCUUCCUGCCAGACAGCCAAGUUUCUAUCUAUGCUAGUACCUUGCCUCUAACACCAUGGGCCCUUAUCUUACUCAACAGCCUCCUAUGUAGUCCUUUGUCAAAAGGCCUUCAUGAAGUCCAGGUAGAAAACAUCCAUUGUGGAAACAGGCCAUUUCCCAGACCCAUUACCCUAAGCUACCACUCUACAUUUACCCCUGACUAAUGCACCUAACCUACACAUCCCUGAAAACUAUGAGCAAUUCCGCAUCGCCAAUUCACCUAACUUGCAUAUCUUUAGAUUAUGGGAGGAAACCGGAGCACCCAGAAGAAACCCACACAGACACAGGGACAACGUGCAAACUUCACACAGACAGUCGCUCGAGGCUGGAAUUGAAGCCAUGUCCCUGGUGCUUUGAGGCAGCAGUGCUAACCAUGGUGCUGCCCCAAAGACUUCUAGCAGAUUUGUCAGGCUGGACCUCCUCUUGAUGAAACCAUGCUGACUUUGCCCUUUUUUUACCAUACACUUCCAAGUUUUCAGAAAUCUCAUCCUUCAUAAUGGAUUCCAGGAUCUUACCCAUACUAAUCAGUCUGUAAUUUUCUGUCUUUUGCCGCACUCCCUUUUUAAGUAGGGGUGUUACAUUAGCGAUUUUUCAGUCCUCUGGGACCCUCCCUGACUCUAGCGAUUCCUGCCAGGAUAUGGGCCAGGAGCAGGCAGGUGGGAGUAGCUUAGUUUGGGAUUAUGUUCGGCAUAACUGGUUGAACUGAUGAAUCUAUUUCUGUGCUGUAUGACUGAGGAUUCCUUCAUUGUCCAUCUAUGGAAAAUGCAGAUUCCAAAUAUGCACCUCAAAGGGUGUGUUUGUUUACAAAUAAACAGAAGCUAUGAGAUACCAUGUAUGGACAUUCUUUCAGUCUGUGUUCUCACAGCCAGGUGUCAUUCCUCCCGGAGACUUCAGCAGUGAAUGUCUGGUAAGAUUGAGUACCGUGUGCAGUUUUGGGCUCCACUCAGGAUCCAAGAUGUUGAGGCAUUAGAAAUUCACUAGGAUGCUGCCAACCAGUUGAAAGACAUACAAAACGUGAGACAGGAAAGACCAGAACAAAGCUUGUUGGCUCAAAGGAGAAUUUUUGUUGUUGGAGGUGGAAUGUGGCAGAAGUAUUUAAAGUUAUGACAGACCAACAAUUAACAAUGAAUCAAACAGAUUUUGUAAUUGUAUUAUGCAAUUGAUUAUUUAAUGUUUGUUUUUGUAUUUUGGAAACUUAC